rnacentral:rRNA from 1 species
UCUGUCGCGGGCGAAGGAGGUUUGACGGGAGCUGCCCCUAGUACGAGAGGACCGGGGUGGACGGACCUCUAGUGUGCGAGCUGUUCCGCCAGGAGCACCGCUCGGUAGCUAUGUCCGGCAGGGAUAAGCGCUGAAGGCAUCUAAGCGCGAAACCCGCCUGAAGAUGAGACCUCCCGGGGCGUAAGCCCCCUGAAGGGCCCUCGUAGAUUACGAGGUUGAUAGGCCGGAGGUGUAAGCGCCGUGAGGCGUUCAGCUGACCGGUACUAAUCGCCCGUGCGGCUUGACCAC